GAUGAACGCUGGCGGCGUGCCUAAUACAUGCAAGUCGAGCGAACGGACGAGAAGCUUGCUUUUCUGAUGUUAGCGGCGGACGGGUGAGUAACACGUGGAUAACCUACCUAUAAGACUGGGAUAACUUCGGGAAACCGGAGCUAAUACCGGAUAAUAUUUUGAACCGCAUGGUUCAAAAGUGAAAGACGGUCUUGCUGUCACUUAUAGAUGGAUCCGCGCUGCAUUAGCUAGUUGGUAAGGUAACGGCUUACCAAGGCAACGAUGCAUAGCCGACCUGAGAGGGUGAUCGGCCACACUGGAACUGAGACACGGUCCAGACUCCUACGGGAGGCAGCAGUAGGGAAGCUUCCGCAAUGGGCGAAAGCCUGACGGAGCAACGCCGCGUGAGUGAUGAAGGGCUUCGGAUCGUAAAACUCUGUUAUUAGGGAAGAACAUAUGUGUAAGUAACUGUGCACAUCUUGACGGUACCUAAUCAGAAAGCCACGGCUAACUACGUGC
rnacentral:rRNA from 1 species